rnacentral:rRNA from 1 species
UACCAGCACCCCGAGUGGUCGGGACGAUUAUUGGGCCUAAAGCAUCCGUAGCCGGUCAUGCAAGUCUUCCGUUAAAUCCAGCCGCUCAACGGUUGGGCUGCGGAGGAUACUACGUGGCUAGGAGGCGGGAGAGGCAAGCGGUACUCAGUGGGUAGGGGUAAAAUCCUUUGAUCCAUUGAAGACCACCAGUGGCGAAGGCGGCUUGCCAGAACGCGCUCGACGGUGAGGGAUGAAAGCUGGGGGAGCAACCGG